GCGAUUUCCGAAUGGGGGAACCCGGUGCACUUCGGUGCAUCAUCGUUAGCUGAAUACAUAGGCUAACGAGGCGAACCGGGGGAACUGAAACAUCUAAGUACCCCGAGGAAAAGAAAUCAACCGAGAUUCCCCCAGUAGCGGCGAGCGAACGGGGAACAGCCCAGAGCCUGAAUCAGCUUGUGUGUCAGUGGAACGGUCUGGAAAGGCCGGCGAUACAGGGUGACAGCCCCGUACACGAAGGCACACAGGCUGUGAGCUCGAUGAGUAGGGCGGGACACGUGAUAUCCUGUCUGAAGAUGGGGGGACCAUCCUCCAAGGCUAAAUACUCCUGACUGACCGAUAGUGAACCAGUACCGUGAGGGAAAGGCGAAA
rnacentral:rRNA from 1 species